GGUGAUGCUGGACAGAACGACGAAGGGAACGGAGGGCAUGAAUGGAGGCACUGGAACGACGACGGCGGAACCCUCGCAGUGGUGGCCGUGGACUGGUGGCGACGGUGGCGUGGAGCACAGCUCCUCUUCCUGUUGCGCCUUUGCUCUCUCCUCUCUCUUAG